AUUGCGGAGGGAAUCACACUGCUAACUACAGAGGUUGCCCUGUAUAUAAAGAUCUGAAAUCUAAGUUGUCACAGGGAAUUCAAGCACGUCGUAACCAAAUGUUACAAACGCCCCGUAAUGAAAUUAUAGCAACCUCAGAAAAAAGUACAAAUCCUAUUACUUCUAACAAUAAUAAUAUGCAAGGAAGCUAUGCAAAUGUGGUGAAAGGCAACACUGUGCAAAUGCAACUGCCGCAAAAUCCUCCAAAUGGAGGUAUUGAAACUAUGAUUAUAAAUCUUACACAGUGUAUGACACAAUUUAUGUCUACCAUGCAAAACAUGAUCCAAGAUUUAAUAAAAUCACAAAAUCAAAUGCUGCAAAAUUUAUUAAGUAAAAAAUGAGCUUACUAAAUAUCUGCAUAUGGAAUGCUAACGGUGUUAACCAACAUAAAUUAGAGAUUAUCAGAUUUCUGUCUGAAAAGAAUAUAGAUGUAAUGCUUAUUUCAGAAACUCAUCUAACAAAUAAAAAUAAUUUCAACAUACCGGGAUUUAGACUAUAUGUUACAAAUCAUCCGGAUGGAAAAGCGCAUGGUGGCACGGCAGUGUUGAUUAGAAAUCGUUUAAACCACUAUGCUCUAGAAUCUUAUGCUACACCACAGUUGCAAGCUACAACAAUAUCACUAAAAAAUCAGGGUUGUAACUUAAACCUUACGGCUAUAUACUGUCCACCUCGUUUUAAAAUUACAGAAAGCGAAUUUAAAGACUUUUUUGGAACACUAGGUCAAAGAUUUCUAGCAGGUGGAGAUUACAACGCAAAACACACGUACUGGGGCUCACGUCUUAUUAAUCCGAAAGGACGACAGCUGUAUCAAACUGUUAUAAAUAGGCACAAUAACCUUGAAAUAAUAUCUCCUGGUAAGCCGACAUAUUGGCCUAGUGAUCGGAAGAAAAUACCAGAUUUAAUUGAUUUUGCUGUAAUCAAAAAUAUAGAUAAAUCGCACAUAACAGCAGAUACAUGUACUGAUCUAUCUUCUGAUCACUCUCCGGUACUAAUAAAAUUAUGUGAACAACCCAUAUUCGUUAAUCCAAAAGUGGGUCUAACUUCUUAUAAAACAAAUUGGCUAAAAUAUAAAAAAUACGUCAGUAGCCACAUUAAUAUUGAGUAUAAAAUAAAUACAGGAAGAGAUAUUGACGAAAGUAUAAGAGAAGUCAAUGAUAUAAUAACCUGCGCAGCUGUCUUAGCAACACCAAACAAAAGCUAUAAGCCGCUUGGUUUCAGAAAAAUCUCUAAUAGAGAAAUAGAAAUGCUUGUAAAUGUAAAAAGGCGUGCAAGACGUGAAUGGCAGAUAAAUCGUUCCCCUUCCACUCAGCUUCAAUUAAAAUCUGCUGUACGUAGAUUAAAAAACGCGCUUAAACGUGAGGAAGAAUUGAACACCGAAAUGUAUAUAAAGAAGCUGUGUCCGAAUUCAAACAAGCAAAAUUCCCUUUGGAAAGCCCAAAAGUCCAUGAAGCCACCAACUGACUCCAACAUGCCUAUACGAGACUUGGGAGGAAAUUGGGCUCGAAGUGACGAGGAAAAGGCUAAUUGCUUUGCAAAUCACCUAGAAAAGGUAUUUCAACCCAAUUUGCCAAAGAACAACUUUAAGUUGUCAAUCUUACCCAACACAGCUAAAGAGUCGCUCGAGCCUCUUAUGACUUCACCUUCUGAAAUCAUUGGUAUCAUCAAGGAACUUAAUCCAAAAAAAUCGCCGGGACAUGAUAAAAUUUCCCCAAAAAUGCUAAUUGAGUUACCAAUUAUUGCUGUAGAGGUGCUCUCUUUGCUCUUCAAUGCAAUUCUUAGUUUCGGAUACUAUCCAAUUUCAUGGAAAAAGUCGCAGAUUAUCUUGAUAGAUAAACCUGGGAAAGACUUAACACAGCCGUCUUCAUACAGACCAAUCAGUCUUCUACCCUGUCUUUCAAAAGUAUUUGAAAAAGUAUUACUAUCAAAGAUGUCUCCUUUCCUCCACGAAAAUAACACAAUACCAAUGCAUCAAUUCGGAUUUCGUGCGAAACAUGGCACAAUAGAGCAAGUCAAUAGAAUUACUAACGAGAUAAGAAAAGCAUUUGAGCACAGGGAGUACUGUUCAGCAAUAUUUCUAGAUGUAGCUCAGGCGUUUGAUAAGGUGUGGCACGAAGGUCUUUUAUAUAAGAUUAAAAAAAUUCUACCUUUAGAAUUGUAUAGAACCUUGGAGUCUUAUUUAAAAAAUAGAAAAUUUAUGAUAAAAGUGGGAGAUUUCAUAUCUGAUGAACGUCAGAUAAGGGCUGGUGUUCCCCAGGGCAGUGUUUUAGGCCCAACACUAUACAUCAUAUAUACAGCAGAUCUUCCAACAGCUAACAAUGUAUUAACUUCAACUUUUGCGGACGAUACAGCAAUAGUGAGCCGUAACAAAUGCCACAUUGUAGCAUCAAGAAUAUUAACGGAGCAUUUAAGUUCUCUCGAAGAAUGGCUAGCGAACUGGCGUAUAAAUGUGAAUGAACAGAAGUGUAAGCACAUUACAUUCUCGCUAAGACCAAAGAUGUGCCCGGCAGUAAAAAUAAACAAUAUCUUAGUACCACAAGCGAACGAAGUAACAUAUCUUGGAAUUCACCUAGAUAGAAGGCUCACGUGGAGAAAACACGUAUCUAGUAAAAUAACAUGUAUGAAGAUUAGAGCUGCAAAUUUAAAUUGGCUUUUAAAUAAAAACUCCAAACUUAGCCUAGACAACAAAGUGCUCUUAUAUAAUGCGGUCAUAAAGCCGAUUUGGAUGUAUGGCAUUCAACUGUGGGGUACGACCUGUGCAACUAAUAUUGAUCUAAUACAAAGGUUCCAAUCAAAAAUGCUUAGAACAAUCACGUGUUCACCAUGGUACAUGCGUAACGAAAAUAUCCAUAAAGACCUUGGUAUUCCUAUGGUAAAAAAAGAAGUAGAAGACAGCAGAAUUAAAUAUAUAUCUAAACUCCGAGAUCACCCAAACCCUUUGGCUUAUGCUUUGGUACAUUCCAGCGAUCAAACACGACUUAAAAGAAGAGAUAUGCCUGCGUAUUAAAGAGCGACGUAACACCAAAACAGCUCAAUCACUUGCUUGAGUCUGUAUAGUUUUUAAAUAGAUUUAAGAUUUCAUUACUUAUUGUUAGGCUUUAAGAAAAAGCAGAUACAAUAAAUAAAUUAAUUUUGAAAAAAAAAAAAAAUAAGUUAUAACGAUCCGAAAACAGAGCGUUCAGAGUUGUAUUUGCGUAAAUUUAUUUUAGUACGCAAUCCAAAAACAAAUUUUUUAAAAUAGUAUAAAAAUUUAUGAUUUUAUGAUUUUACCAUGCUUUAUGACAAGCUGUGAGUACCCCAACUAUACUUAAAAGUGUUCGUGAAAAGGUAAAGUUGUUCAGAGUGAUCCAUAGAACAUUUUACGGCUAUGCAAUUUUUCCGUUUUUUCGAUCAUCCACACAAAUUAACCCGCUCUAACCUCUACUUACAGUUGGGUCCUACGUAAGUGGGCGCAUAUUUUUUAAAAUGAUAUUUCAUGGGUGUUCUGAAGCAAAUUUCAGCUCAGUGGAAUUAAUGGAACUUAAUCGCGGCAAUUGAUUGAGCGCAUUCGCUUUGAAUUAUUAAUGAUCAAUUUACUUCACAUGUGUGCUCAUACCCCGGACAUGUAUGGUGAUUUUAAACUCUUUCGCUCAGCAAGCUUUUUCGUUCAAUUAUUUGCAAUUUGCGCUUCAAUGCACCCAACGAAGAAAGCAGAACAUUUUUCUGUUUUAAUUGCGCUGUGCACCAAUACUCGAUGACGGUCGAUUUAAUUAUUAUUAGGGCUUACGGCCUAUUGGUAAUAUGAAGAUAGAUUUGUUAACAAUAUAAAAACAUGUUUUCAAAAUAAUCGUAAUCACAUCACAUCUUGUUAUCAUCCACUUAACUAGCAAUUAUGUUGAUGUAGAUAUUUCUAAUAUUUUCCUAAUGCGAUUUUUAUUGAAACGUUUACGUAAUAAACCAAUAAAUAAAAUUAUUAUUGUAAGCACCUAUUGUUGAUACUAGUUAUUGAUAGGUCUCUCACAAACUUAUAAUUUGUCACACGGAAGCCUUUAGAUUUGUUUAGCGCUUAUUCAUUAUUAUUUCAAACGCACUUUGAAAUUUUAAGUAAUACUUUUUCAAUUUUGGUAUAAAAAUCCUUAAAAAUAACACUACAAAUUUAAUUCCUGACUCAAUUUAAGCAAAAAUAGUAAUUGGAAUGAAUUAUCGUAGUCUCUCUUUCUAUCAUUCAGCAAUAUUAGUGAUUGGUAUAGGACUUGUGAUAUAGUUUUUAACGAAUGGAAAACCACCAAACAAGCAAGCCAGCAGUUCUCUUACAUGGCUUCAAUGUUUGCUAAACCUAAAGUCCGCAUCACUCAAAAACACCUGUGUGCUUCGAAAAAAUUUUAAAUGAGCGGUUACCGCUUUGGAUUGAGCGCCAUACAUCGUUGCAACAACGAUAAUGCGAAAUAAAUCAUUAUUGUCAUUAUUUCUGGAAAAGGGAUACUUUUGUAGAAGAGAAAAUAAACGAAAAUUAAUGAGUGAAAGAAAGAGUGCGUGUCGAUACCAUGGUCUCCAACUACUCAAAAUCGUGCUAUAAGCUUUUGUACUUCUGUCAAAUAAAACAUUUCCAAAUUCAUUGAAUCCUCAGUCUCUUGCGAACUCAGAUGUUCUUUGACUCAAUUUUUCUCACACAUUUUCGGCUCAUUUAUUACAUUUGCCGUUUCAAUUAUUUGUUUAUGUAUACUGUGUAUUAACGCGUUCGUGCAGGAAUAAGUAACAAGUAGAGCAGAAACAAAAGGAAACAUAUUAAGUCCAUCACAAGACUAACGAUAUGACAUUCGGUAAAAUGCAUAUAAGUAAAUGUAAGUUUGUAGAUAAAAAUAACGUGUCAAGGUGUUUUCCCGGGGUAAACUACUAAACUAUUGAACCGGUUUUAGUAAAAUUUAUCACACUGUGUUCAAUUUGAUACAACUUAGAAGAUAGGGUAGUAUAUAUUUCAAUUAUGUUAAACACCAAAACAUUACAUAUACAUAUAAAAAAAUAUAUUUCUAUACAAAAGCAUGUUUUCAAAAUUAAAAAAUUUAAAAAAUUAUCAUAAUUUUAAAUAAGACUUGAAGUGCCCAAAAUAACCAAACCUCGACAAUCACUUAAAGCAUUGUAAGCAUGCAAGAUAAAAUAGCCAUGUUAAACUUUUCCGGUAGUCUUCUUCUUAAUUAGCGUAGACACCGCUUACGCGAUUAUAGCCGAGUUAACAACCGCGCGCCAGUCGUUUCUUCUUUUCGCUACGUGGCGCCAAUUGGAUAUUCCAAGCGAAGCCAGGUCCUUCUCCACUUGGUCCUGCCAACGGAGUGGUGGUCUUCCUCUUCCUCUGCUCCCCCCGGCGGCUACUGCGUCAAAUACUUUCAGAGCUGGAGUGUUUUCGUCCAUCCGGACAACAUGACCUAGCCAACGUAGCCGCUGUCUUUUAAUUCGCUGAACUAUGUCAGUGUCGUCGUAUAUCUCGUACAGCUCAUCAUUCCAUCGAAUGCGAUAUUCGCCGUGGCCAACGCGCAAAGGACCAACGUCGACUCAUCCGUUGUUGACAUCGUCCAAGCCUCUGCACCAUAUAGCAGGACGGGAAUUAUUAGUGACUUAUAGAGUUUGGUUUUUGUUUGUCGAUAGAGGACUUUGCUUCUCAAUUGCCUACUCAGUCCGAAGUAGCACCUGUUGGCAAGAGUUAUCCUGCGUUGGAUUUCUAUGCUGACAUUGUUGGUGGUGUUUACGCUGGUUCCAAGAUAGACGAAAUUAUCUACAACUUCAAAGUUAUGACUGUCAACAGUGACGUGAGUGCCAAGUCGCGAGUGCGACGACUAUUUGUUUGAUGACAGGAGAUAUUUCGUCUUGCCCUCGUUCACUGCCAGACCCAUUUGUUUUGCUUUUCCGGUAGUGCUGGUGGAAAAAAACUUUUGAUGAUCAAAAAGAUCACUGGAAAUAUUCUUGAAAACUUUUAAGUCUAAUGAAAUACCUGUUGCAACACCAUACUUUGUAUUUUUACUUUAUUGUGAAACUAGUACUUUUACCAUGUACGGUGGCAAAACCGUGUUCUUAAAAAAAACGGUGAUAAGUAAAUAGCAGUAUUUUGAAAAUUCAUGUUUACGUAAAAUCUUAAUAUUUUAUUAUAUAUAGUGGCCUGGUAGUCUCCAUCAAUAUCUACUGAAAAUAAUCAACAAACUAUCUAUCGACCAUAGAAUAUUUCUUGCUAUCUGUAUAUACGCGAAAUAGCCUCUCAGUUUUUGAAAAAUCGGGCUAUAUCGGUGGGUAUUUCAAGCGUCGUUUUCUCUCCAAGAAAACAUUUAUCAGAACCAGUAAUAUCCGAGCACUAUAAGAUGUAGCGACAUACAAACUGACCGAUCAAAAUCAUGUUAAAAAUCUUCGUAAAAUAUCGUGUUUCCUUAUUAAGCAAACUUCGACUUAAAGGUUUUUCAUAUCAAUACCUUGAACUAUCAAAACGCUUUCCAUUAGAUGCAAAUCGUUAAGCCGUUACAUUUUCAGAUUGUGUUGUAUAGUUAGUUACAAUAAAGAAAGAAUUUCGUAUUGUAAAAUCAUUUACAGAUUAUGCCUUUGGUGCAGCCGAAGUUAACGUUUGCUCUUGUAUUACUUUUAUGUCUCUUACUUUUUUAGAAUUUAAUUACAACGCAUUGUGGAAAGUGCUAGGUUUUUAACUCGAUUUGUCACAAAAUAGCCCCGCACGGCUCAGAUUCUCAACCCACGAACUCUUCUCAUUUUAAUUAUGAAACCAUCGCUUGUUCUCUUGCAAAUUUUUAAUGACAUCGAGUUAGACCCUUCUUGCGAGUAUUUCAAUGAAAUUUUUGGUAUUUCGUUUAGUGAACAAAACGAAACCCGUCUGAAAGAGUAUCCCGCUCCAGUGUAAAAAUUAUGAUGCAAACUCGAUCAACCAGAGGUGCGUGAUAAUGUGGUAUUUGAGGUAAAAGGUAAUGCUUUUCUCGCUGCUAAUACAACUGACAUAUGUACAUUUAUACAUAUAUAUAAAAAUAUAGCGACGGACGAUUCUCAGAUGAUAAGUUAUGAUAGAUAUGACGGCUUCAAAUACGAUGAGAAAGCGAAAACGGUGACGCAGACAUGCAAGUAAGCCAUCGCUCAACACAUGCACGGUUUUUUAUCAUACCAUUUGCCAACUCUCUGGGGGAGUAAAUAUGUAUGGACUUGUGUGCGCACUUGUAAAUUUUACGGAAUCCAUUGAUGGAGUGAUGGUAGACCCACGCAGCUGAUGCCAUUCAGUAGACUGGUAAUCGAACAGGGGGUUGAAUCGCUCGACAGGUUGAUUCUCGGGCCCUCAAACCUCAAGCAUAACUUCAUCAUUUUGUUGUAUAGUAAUUAGUGGCAUACAAAGUAUUCAGGAUGAAAGUGAUCGCGAAUGGCACUCCUUUUUAUGCAAAGUGUUAAAAUUUGUUUGGGAAGAAGUAUAGAAUUUGUUUAUGUAUGAUGAAUUAUUAAAAUGUUUGGAAGUAGAAAAAUAUUUAUUGCACUACCUGGCCUCUCAUUGGGACCUGAUUGGAUAUAUGUAUGUACAUCUACUGCAUCUAUUUGACAUUUGAUUUGUUCUGUGUGCAGGUUUAUUUCUUAUGCCAUGUCGAUUACAACAACUCACAUGUACUAUAAAGUGUGUGUGUUUCACAAAAAUCAAAACCAGUUGGUCUGAAAAGCACAAAAAAUUCAACGUCAAUUGUGCACAACAAACUCAAUUUGAAUUAUGACAUGAACACAGACUGACUGGCUGACGAGGAGAUGGCUGGAGGCGAGGGUGUCAAGUGCCAUUUACAUUCGAUAAACCGGGAAAUCAGUUUUCCAACGCGCUCACUAAAUUGCCCCUAAUGCUUCCUCCCCUACCUACUUUUUAUACAUGCGCCAUAUAACCGCUGUUAAUGACAGCUGCAACAACAAA